rnacentral:lncRNA from 1 species
UAGGCCAUCUCCAACCCAGCACCAAAUUUUGCACCAUUUUGCACCAAAUUUUGCACCAAAUCUUACACCAAACUAAAAUUCAUCUCCAACCAUUACACCAAAAAUUACACCAAAUGAACAGUAUUUAACCAUUUUCUUCCCUUUUUUUAUUCUUUAUAAUCUACUUAUUUGAAAUAUUAUUUAUUUAAUUAUUUCAGAAAUACAUAAAUUACUAAAUAAAUAAAUAAUUAAUCGUGUUUGAUGUAUUUUAAAUUAUUUUCGUCUUUUAAUUAAUUAAUUAAUUAUUAUGUCUUACAUUUAAAAUUUAUUUUAAACACAAAUAAUUAUUAAUAUUAAUAAAAAUAAUAAUAAUUUAUUGUAUUAAAAAAUAUAUAGCACAAAUUACAUAAAUACCCUCAACAAAUUUAUUUAGGAAAUGUAAAAUAAGGGCAAAAUUGGCAUUUUACACUUGCACCAUUUUGCACCAAAAUGGUGCAAAGUUUGGUGUUGGGUUGGAGCAAUUUUGCACCAAAAAAUGGUGCAAAAUGGUGCAAUGGUGUUGUGGUUGGAGAUGGCCUUAGU